rnacentral:rRNA from 1 species
UAUUUUAAAGAGAGUUUGAUCCUGGCUCAGGACGAACGCUGGCGGCGUGCCUAAUACAUGCAAGUCGAACGAACGGAGGAAGAGCUUGCUCUUCCAAAGUUAGUGGCGGACGGGUGAGUAACACGUGGGCAACCUGCCUGUAAGUUGGGGAUAACUCCGGGAAACCGG